rnacentral:rRNA from 1 species
UACGUAGGUGGCAAGCGUUGUUCGGAAUUAUUGGGCGUAAAGGGCGCGUAGGCGGCUUGUUAAGUCGGUUGUGAAAGCCCGGGGCUCAACCCCGGAAAGUCGACCGAUACUGGCAGGCUAGAGUACGGAAGAGGUAGCUGGAAUUCCCGGUGUAGCGGUGAAAUGCGUAGAUAUCUGGAGGAACACCGGUGGCGAAGGCGGCGUUCUGGACUGCAACUGACACUGAGGAACGAAAGCCAGGGGAGCAAACGGG